rnacentral:misc_RNA from 1 species
AUUCAUUCAAGCUCAUCACUCAAUAUUAACAUUUACGUCAAUGAAAACUUAUAUAUAAUCACCAAACAAAACACAAAACAACAUGAAAUAGCUAGUCAGAAGUAUAAAAUUGUACAGUUGUUUAUUGUGAAAAUAUCAACAAACAUGUGAAUUAUAGCACUAAAAAAAAUAUAAUUGCAAGGAAGCAAUAUUCUCCAUCAGCUUAGACUCUGCAGAUAG